AGUAAUGCAUUGCAAGGUAGUGCCUAAGAGACUUAGUGCUUAAUAUCCGCGCAGCCAAGGAUUUGUUGUGUGAGGAGCUUGCUAAACACUCUUCAAGUGUUGGAUUUACAUUUUGUAGAAUUUUUGUAAUGCAUUGCAAGGUGGUGCCUAGGAGACUUAGUGCUUAAUAUCCGCGCAGCCAAGACAUUGAUGCUUUGGUUGUAGGUUAUGCGGAUAUAGAUAUUGACACGUCCACUUAGCGUAUGCGAUGCUAUGAGUGAAGCAUAUCGUGGCAGUCAUAAGUUACGGACUCAAGGGUAGUCUGUAUUUUGGAUAUUUUAUUUAUGGCUCAUGUCCUACGUGGCACAUGUAUUUGUUGAACCUGUAUUUUAGUAUGUAAUUAUACAUUUUAUAAGCCAUAAAUAGAUAGACUUGUAAAUGGCUCUU